rnacentral:lncRNA from 1 species
AAGAAUUAGUUGGUAACAAACCCAAUUUCAAUAAACAAAUCCAUACUACCAACAAAUUUAAAGUGCUACAAAAGGAAAAUGAUGAGGAAAAUGUAGGAAACCAACUGGCAGUCAUAGAGGAACACACGGUUCAAAAAUCCAACAGCAACAAGGAGAUUCAGCACACAGAUGUGGAAAAUGGGAUAAAGGAACAGGAAGUGCAUGCAUCAGCUUCACAAAUAGCACAAAAGAAUACAUCUCCUAGAUAUGCAAAAUGGGAUAAAGGAACAGGAAGUGCAUGCAUCAUCUUCACAAAUAGCACAAAAGAAUACAUCUCCAAGCUCGUCCAAAAGACAGUCAGCCAACAAUCAACAAAAGAAUCCAGUUGGUAUACAACAAGGGAUGGGGAAAGAGCAGCAUAUCAACUACAAAAGGAAAAUGAUGAGGAAAAUGUAAGAAACAAACUGGCAGUCAUAGAGGAAUACACGAUUCAAAAAUCCGACAGCAACAAGGAGAUUCAGCACACAGAUGUGGAAAAUGGGAUAAAGGAACAGGAAGUGCAUGCAUUAGCUUCCCAAGUAGCACAAAAGAAUACAUCUCCAAGCUCGUCCAAAAGACAGUCAGCCAACAAUCAACAAAAGAAUCCAGUUGGUAUACAACAAGGGAUGGGGA